CACAACGUGGGGCGUGGCCUCAUGACCUGGCAGAGGCAGUUCUACCCUCACUCCCCUUCUCGGGAAGAACUUGCCUCCAGACUUGCAGCAUGGCUGUGGAGGUCAUGAAAGGAAGCCAGCUUCUUUCUCCUCUGCCAAUCUGUUUGUUCUGCAGUUAGCAAAUGGGAAUGGGAUUCUCUAGUAAGGAAACAAACCAUAACAGAACUUCCUCCAGGGAGCUCAGAGUUUCAGUUCUCACAGGAUUCUGUUAAAAUUCGACACAGUCACACUUUAGAGCUCAAGGACUGGCUAACUCCUCCAGCCAAGCUCACUCUUUGCCCUCAAGCCACUGGGAGAGACAGGAUGAAAGACCUCAUGAGAACGAUGGGACUCUGGGCUUCUCAGCUCACAUGCCAUAGAGCAGCAGGAGGACCCUGGUCAUGGCUGCCCCACCUCGGACCCUUGUGACAUGCUACCACCUUGUGAAGAGGUCUGUGGGAUAACACACAAGCAUUUGCAGCUUUUGUCUUCCUUUCCAUGGCCUUUGAUUCUUCGGGCAGAAUGUCCCUCCUGGAUUACACUGUUCAAAUUUCACACAGACCUUUGCUCCUCUCUCUAAGGCUCAGCCAGAAACCAAGAAGGAUAUAUAGUCUUGGUGUCGCGAAAAGCAACCCAAAAUGUGUCUAUGGCACCAACUGCCCAGGGUUCUGCUUCUGUCCCGCGGCGCCAGCGGCCCCUAGCAGAGAUGCGCGGUAUUACUGAGCACAGGUGGAUGCCCCGCCCUCCCUACACAUUCACCUGCUCACCUCCCCGCACUCCUACAAGAGAGGUACUACGCUUAUUCCUGUUUGAGAGAGAAGACCCUCGAGACGCAGGAAGGAAGCAUCUUGCCCAGUGUGGUACAGCUGGUAGGGCAGAGCCGGAACCGCCCACUCCACCGAAGCACACCCCGGAACCACACCUGCGCCCAGGCUGAAAAAAAGACUAUCAUCAACUUUCCAAGCAACCUGGCCUUGGGAGAGCCGAUGAAGGAUACUGAAAAGCAGCAAGGGGAAAACACAACACCUUUCCUGCUCCUUCAUGUUCUAGAUUUUUUAAAAACCCUGAAAUGUGGCCCGACGAUACUUAUUAUUAACAAGAUCUCUGACAUCCUUCGCUGUAAGAAUCUGUGAUCAGCUCAAGUAGGGUUUGAAUUUGGGAGGGAGAGAGUGAGGGCACGCAUGGAUGAGAUACCUAAAAGUCAAACUCUGUUUCUGUUUAUAGUAUAGUCAUGAGUAGUCGUGAAGUCCCACUUUCCCUUUUACUUCCAGAUAAAGACAUUAAAUCCAUGGGGUUCAAUUUUUAAGGUCUGCCAUUCAGCGAUGCUAGGCUCCAGGUCUGUCUCCGCCCCUCUUCCACCCUGAAGCAUCUCUGGUGUGGGGAUUCUGAGACCAAAUCUGGAUGGUCAGGCUCUAAGAGAGCUGUUUUGUUGUGUUGUCUUGUCUUAAGACAGUGGAACAGGCUCCCUGAUUCUUGCCAUGGGACACCUGAAGCAAUUAUUCCCAGGAUAUUCAGCGAACAACUUCUCUGCUUACAGAAGGAAGAGCAAAGUCUAGGAAACAUGCUUUCAAGAGGAGUGGGUGGUCACUCAAAGUAACUCACUUGGACAGGAAAACUGUCAUGUUAGUCAAAACUUAGCAACUUAGUAGCCUUAGCAACUACAAUAAGGAGAAAUGAAAGAAGACCAACUUACACAGGGGCCAGGGAAAAAAAUAACUGGUUUUGUAAUAA